rnacentral:rRNA from 1 species
UGAGGAAUAUUGGUCAAUGGACGCAAGUCUGAACCAGCCAUGCCGCGUGGAGGAUGACAGCCUUCUGGGUUGUAAACUUCUUUUAUAUGGGAAGAAAAGUACGGUUUCUACUGUAUCCGACGGUACCAUAUGAAUAAGCACCGGCUAACUCCGUGCCAGCAGCCGCGGUAAUACGGAGGGUGCAAGCGUUAUCCGGAUUUACUGGGUUUAAAGGGUGUGUAGGCGGACAUUUAAGUCAGAGGUGAAAUCUCCGGGCUCAACCCGGAAACUGCCUUUGAUACUAUUUGUCUUGAAUUUCGUUGAGGUUGGCGGAAUAUAUCAUGUAGCGGUGAAAUGCAUAGAUAUGAUAUAGAACACCGAUUGCGAAGGCAGCUGGCUGAACGACGAUUGACGCUGAGGCACGAAAGCGUGGGUAGCGAACAGG